rnacentral:piRNA from 1 species
UGACCUACUGGGACAAAGCAUGGAGA